ACUGCGGAGUAUAAGUUUAUUGUAAGUAGUAUACUAUUUAGUUGCGAAAGCGUAUACAAUGAAACAGUAA
rnacentral:ncRNA from 1 species